AAAGAUAUUCAGAAAUUUCCUAGCCUAGUAUUGCUUUUUCAUACUAGGCUAAAGAAGAAGUUAUUUAAAGUCAUAGUUUCCUCAGAUACUUCUUUAACACUUAACAUGGAAGACAUUUAUAGGGACAAGAAGAUGCAGUAACAGAACCAUUAUGAAAUGUUAGCUCUGUGGCACCAGAAUCCCCAUACUUCCAGAUUGACGGGAAUUCGGGGCCGGAGCAGACAUUCUAACUAAAUCAUCAGUGGGGAGAGAUUUCAUUGAGUGUGGGUAGAGACAUGAACAUCUGGGCUAGAGUCUGAAGGAAAUGGUGAGAAUUUUAACUGUCACAGAUGGAACUCUUGAGCGCAUACAUAAGACAUUAACUGAGAAUUUCUUGGACUAGAAAAAUAAAUUGGAAUUAAAUAUAUUCUUUCUUAACAAAUAUCAAAUGUAAAAUCUUAAAGCCAUCUGUGAUUUUUUUUCUGAAAAAUUUGAAAGUUUAAGUUAGGUAUAUCAAAAUAAAAAAAAUGUCUAGCAUAUUAUCCUGUUGCCAGGCAACACUGAUAAUCUGAGAUCUCACAAGCAGGCACCAGAAAGAUGUUGAAUGCAAUGAAUGUAUCCCCAAAGCGAGUGAGUCAGCAAUAGUUAUUUCAAGAGCUGGCCUGACAGAGCCACGAAAAUCCCCAGUGAGCAUGAAACUAUCUUCAGACUUUGUUGCUUAUCUUUGGCAAUGCAAACACUCAUACCUCCUCUCCGUGGUCUCCAAAUGAGAUAUAGUCAAGGAGCCAAGAUGUAUUCUGUUCCCUCCUACCGAGGUUCUAACAGCGAAGCCAGCGCAUCAUUUCAGUGUGCAGAGACUGGAGGACCACACCCUUAUCCCCAGGGCAGAAGGCCGUGGUCUAUGUCUCCCAGCUGGGAAACAGGUGUCUCCUCUGGAUCCCUUCAGAUUAAGGAGCAGGAGGAGGAAGAGAAAGCAUGCCUGUGUUCCUGUUCCUGGAAAUGCUCCAUUUAAAUUCAAGCAUCGCAUUUCCUUCUUGUAAAAAUGCCAGGCUGAUCUGCAGUGGGCUCUGAUUUGCUUUGUUCCUUUGGUUUGUCCUCAGAGAAGUGCUUUGAAAUGGAAUCUAUUCAAGACAAGAAGUUUUCUUUCUCGGUUUAAUAAGAGCAUGUGAACUCUUAUGGAUCAUAACAAAACGGCAUGAACUGUGAUUUGUGGCUCUGCCUCACACAUGAAGAUGUGUUUGUUAAAGGGACUAGAACCUCAAGUUGGACUUGAUUGUCUACAAGGUUAAGAUGGAUGACCGAGAGUCAAAUGACCCUAACAAACAUUCUCUGACAUUGGACUUGGCAAGAGAGAAGCUGCGCAGGGAUGAUUAUAUGUAUUCAUAUCUGUGCAUCGAUUGAAAUGUAUUUUUAAUUUGGUGAAAUGGCUAUAGCUUUUUGCGCAGACAUUGAGUGAAGAUGUCAGAAUCGGUCAAUUUCUGGUUUAGAGAGUUUAGAAGGGACUGACAUCAAGCAGGAAAGAUCUAAACUAAGAACUAAAUUAAUAUGGCAAAUACUUCAGGGUUUAAAUUUUUCAGAAGGUAGGACUCUCACAUUUCAAAUGACUUUUGUCCUUGAUAUAAUGUCUAUAGUUAUUUUCUUUAUGGUGAGCUAUGUUAUUUGGACUAGGUAAAAAUAUAGAUAUGCAUAUUGCUAACUUAGGUGAGGGAAAAUUUCUUACUUUGUAAUUGUAAUCAACAUUAUAUCAAAUUCUAGAAGUAAUUUAAGUCUGGGGAUGGGUUGUGUCUACUGGAGAGUAUUUGGUAUAAGUGUUCCUCUUACAGAAAUAUUUAGGUAGAAAUGCUAUAAGUUUGUUAUUUAUGUUAUUAGGAGCACAGAACAUAUUUAAUACAUGGAUAAGUACACUUGGUAUUACAACAGUCAUGCAGUUUUCAGGACGUUUAGUUAUUAUCUUCUGCACUUGCUAACAAUCACAAACAAAUUAUUCUUUUGUGUAGAAUUUUAUAACACUAUGUAAUUGUCUAAAGUCAGUAACUUGUACUGAUAAAGAAUAGGGACCCAUUAGAAAUACUUCAUAAAAAAUGUUAGACACAAGUGAUUAGCUUCCUUAAAGUUUGGAUCCAUUAUAAAAUAUCCUUUUUUUCCCCUAGUAGUCAUUUUUAUGUUGCUUGUAUUUUAGACCAUAAUUAUAUAAAAGACAAAAUAUUUCUAAAAUUCCAUAUAUAAAAUAUCAUUUUAAAAUGCAUCAGCAUACAAAUAUCAAUAUAUUUUUAUAUUACAUAUCUGAAUAAAAUACUAACCAUUAAACCUAAAGAAGUAAUUGUUUCAUUUCCUUAGAUGAUUCUGAUAAUACAGUAGUUAUUUGAUAGCAGAAAACUUUGUCUAUCAUUUUUGUCACCAGGGAAUAACUGUGAUUUUUUUGGUAGUAUGUAAUUUUUCCCCAUAUGAAUGACUUCAUUUUUAAAAAGAUCUCUAAAGAUAGGUCUUAGUAAUGCACCACUCAGUUCAAGAGCAGUUCCUAAACAUUUUAUUUUCUUUGGAAAAUAAUAUUUUUGUCUCAUAAUAUAGUUGCAUUAAAAAAUAUGGGAAAAUUCCAAGUUUUGACACAGUGAAAUUUUUGCAUUUGAUUAUCACCUGUUUUUUCUUUUAAAUUCUGUAAACAACCUUCUUCAAAAAAAGCUAAGUCACUUCAAAUUGGUUUAAGACAUCUGAUGAAGAAACUUACUUGUCUGAAAUCAAAUAACCAUUUCGGAUCUGGAAAAUGUAUUUUGUCAACUUAUGCUUUUAAAAAUGUAACAUCUCUAAAUUCAUGGACAUUUUAAACCAAAAUUCAAUUCUGAUGUACAAUGUAUUAAAAGGAGAGUGACUUAAAAUAAUAUGAUAAUGACAAAUUAAUAUAAUAAUACUAAAACAAUAUGAUAAAAUAAUAUAAUAAGUC
rnacentral:lncRNA from 1 species